rnacentral:rRNA from 1 species
AUGGCGCAAGGUGAGAUGAGUAGAGCAGAAACUAUGAACAUCGACGAAUUGGAGAAUUUGAUGGCAACGAAGCUAACUUACUAUAGAUCAAUUUACAAAGAUCACGAGCAGCGAAGAAAAUUGUGCAUAAUUUUCCGAGUUCCAAAACAUAUUAAGCAAGUUGACAAGUUAUCUUAUGAACCAAAAGUUAUGUCCAUAGGUCCUUAUUACCAUGGAAAUUCUUCCCUGCAGUUUAUGGAGAAAGUAAAAUGGAACUGCUUAGAUUAUGUUCUUAAACUGAACUGCGGGAAAAAGUUAGAGGUCUAUCUAACAAUGAUGGAGAGUCUUGAGAAGCAGGCAAGGAGUUGCUAUUCUGAGGAAGUUUCUCUGGAAAGUGACAUGUUCCUGCGAAUGCUCCUGCUUGAUGGAUGCUUUGUGCUUGUUUAUCUAGGUGGAACGAACGACUUAAAUUGGUGUGUUAGUGAACAGAAUGCAUGUGGUAGUAAUUAUCAGGGGGGAGAACCACUUCAAUACACAAUAGCACAACCAGAGGAGAUUACGGAGCAUGCAUCAAAUGAGGGAACACGUACUGAAAGUAUGAGAUUGAUUGCUGGGACAUCAUCUGAUUUAUGUUCAACAGAAAGUGUGGAACUUGGGCAUAUUAGUACGGGCGAACAAUGCUAUGAUCGGAAGGAUCCCGACCAACCCAAAUGUGACCCAAUUUCUGAAUGGCACCACGCCCAUGUAUUUCGCGACCUACUUCUUCUUGAGAACCAAUUACCAUUUUCCAUUGUGAAGAGAAUAUAUGGGUUACUUGUUGGACACGAUGCUGUAGAUCUACUUACAGAAAAGGUCCGUAAAUAUUUAGAACUCAAUAUUCAGAAGUACACAACAAUUGCUCGUAAUUUUGAUGGGCAAACAGACUUCCACCACUUGCUCCAUUUGUGUCAUAUGUACUUCCGGCCUCAACAAAGGAUUCAACCAGAGCAGCAUUGUCAAAUUAGAAACCGAUGGUUGCAUCCUCUCACAACUUUGUGGCACACAUAUUACAAAAGAAGUUAUUUCGAAGAGUUGUCUAUCAAUCAGCAGGCAUCUCAUAUAAGUUCUUGUCAGACACUGAAUCGAUGGCGACAAGCGGAACAGUAUCAUGAAGCUGGAAUUGAGUUUAAGUGCAAAGAGCACAACAAACAUAACCCGCCUUCUCUUCUGGACAUAACUUUUGACAAGGGUGAGGUGGAAAUUCCAUGCUUGCUUAUUGAUGAAAAUACCAUUUGCCUCUUCAGGAACUUGGUUGCAUUUGAGCAAACAUGCUCGCAGUAUGGAAAUGAUGUCACUUCCUAUAUCGCUUUUAUGUCCCAGCUUGUUAGUACCCCCUGUGAUGUUGCACUGCUUGCUCGCAAAGGAAUAAUCCUACACCACAUGCGUACUGAUGAAGAAGUGUCAACUCUUUUCAGUAAGCUGGGUAAGAAUGUGGACUUUGAUCAGAACGGUGCACACUAUCUUAAAUCUGUCUGCCGUAUGAUGAAAGAGUAUUAUCAGAAUUGUGUAAAUAGAUGGAUGGCCUGGUUGUGGCAUAAUCAUCUAAAAAAUCCAUGGUUGGUCUUAGUUGUAGUAGCAGCAGCUAUCGUUCUUCUCUGCACCAUUAUCCAAUCAUUGUUAUCCUUGCUUGCGUAUUUGGAUCAGACAACGGGUACUAAUUAG